rnacentral:rRNA from 1 species
GACGAACGCUGGCGGCGUGCUUAACACAUGCAAGUCGAACGGUGAAGGGGUCUGCUUUUGUGGGCCCUGGAUGAGUGGCGAACGGGUGAGUAACACGUGAGUAACCUGCCCCCUUCUUCUGGAUAACCGCAUGAAAGUGUGGCUAAUACGGGAUAUUCUGGGUCUGUCGCAUGAUGGGUCUGGGAAAGAUUGCGCCUUUGGGUGUUUUUGGUGGGGGAUGGGCUCGCGGCCUAUCAGCUUGUUGGUGGGGUGAUGGCCUACCAAGGCGGUGACGGGUAGCCGGCCUGGGAGGGUGGACGGUCACACUGGGACUGAGACACGGCCCAGACUCCUACGGGAGGCAGCAGUGGGGAAUAUUGCACAAGGGGCGCAAGCCUGAUGCAGCGACGCCGCGUGAGGGAUGGAGGCUUCGGGUUGUAAACCUCUUUCGCCAGUGAAGCAGGCCUGCUCCGUGUGGGUGGGUUGACGGUAGCUGGAUAAGAAGCGCCGGCUAACUACGUG